AUGUACACCUACUACCUUAUCUGCCUUUUCAAUCCUGGAUUUGGCCAGCGGUAUAAGGGAAUAAAAAUGGCCAUCACUGGAUUCCAAAUUGCCCAAUUCAUUGGUAUCAUAUUACACUGCGUGGCCUAUAAUUACUUGUGCCCUGUGCAAAAGAUCAUAGUCUGCGUGCUGUUCUUCCAAAACUCCAUGUUUCUUGUUUUAUUCUCAAACUUUUUCAUCAAAUCAUAUCUCACCAACGAUAAGAAGACAAAGCUUGAAAUCGCCGCCCCCAAGAAAAAAGUUUCAUAGGACAGUAUGUCACUUAAACUGGCUAUUGUUUGUAAAAGUUCCUUUUUAAAACCUUUAGUCUGUAGUUUUGAGAGAAUUGUUUAGAAGCUGCCCUUUUCAGGGUUACUAAGGAUAAUUUAACAGAAUGGUUAGCUAUAGAAAAUGAAAUACCUAGUGUCUCCCUGUUCCGAGAAUGAGGAUUUCUGUUCUCAUUCUCGAAAUGGCGGAAAAAUGACCUCGAUGGUACGAAGAGGCUGCUUCAAAUUUGGAGCAGACUCUAUCUGAGCCCUUAAAAUUGUAUGAAAUUCUGUGAUAACACAUUUUUUUUUAAGUAAUACAUACGCUUAAGGGUUAGCAUACUUUAAAAGUACUAAAGCAAAUCUCGAGAACUUGUAUAAUCUGAGAGAUAUGUACAAAUCCGCAAGUAAUUCAGAGAAAAAAUAAAAGUCAUGCUAAAAUCAAUGGAAAAUUCGGGGGAAAGGGGUGUAUUGUGUUGCGAUUCUGUCGAAAAGCCAAGAAAACAUGAAUGAAUUUUGCAUAAGCGCGUGUCUAAUGCAUAUUAUAAUAUUUUUGGAUAUUAGAGAUGAGGUAAUUUCAUCUAGUAUGUGCCAUCAUUUCAGGUUAAAGUCCAGUUUUUAAGUAUUAGUGCAAGCUUCUCUGAUUUAUUUAAUGUAAAUAUAUGUUGAUUUUUAAACGUAUUUAAAAGUUUGGAAUGCGAAUCAGAAGAACUUACAUUUUAUUCUCGAUCGUGCGUUGGCUGACCUCUUUAAUGAAGCCCGCUCUGAUUACUCUAUGAACUUAUCCCAUAUGUGAAAAUAUGGAAGAUAUAUGAUAUCAUUAAUUCAUAAUAUUCACCAGAAUACAUAAAAUAAUAAUUAUUCUAAAUGACAUGCACGAUUGAGAAAUUUACUUAGUUCCUGAGAUUUUUUCUAAGUCUAACUUUGUGUACAUAAUUUGAAAAUUUUAAAUGUCUUUCUUUUGAAUUUGAAAUGUAAUCAAACGUAGAAAAGGCAAAGAAAAAAAUAUACUCAAAAACUUCAAAUGCAAUUCGCCACAUCUUUUCCUUUUUCUCAUUUUUCCUCCUUUACGACCUUUCUUGGCAAGGUAAUUCAAUGAUGAGGAACAAAAAUUACGUUCCGUUUUAGCAGAUUAAACCAACAAAAACCAUGUGUUUUCUCCUCAUAAUUCAUUCCUUUUCCGCUUUCCUCUGUACACACCCUGGGACUCGAAUAAUUCGAACUAAUUUGAUGGUCGGCCGACGAUGUGGAGGCCACUAUCAAGAGCUUAAUUUGACACUCUGCAUUUGUAAAACGUUAUAAAGUAAUAAAUAAUGAAGUAAAGCAAGAUGGGAAAUACGGGUGCAUAUAAUUGAAAGCAAACAAGCAAGGAAUGUAAAGGAGUUGUAAGUUCAAAAAUGGUUUUGUCCUGCUCGUUGAGAGCAAAUACGAAAAACGGAUUAAAAGCAGUCCUGCCAAAAACUACCUAAGAUAAUCCUUAGUACAGAAAACCCGUUGUUCGGAUAAUCCGAGAUCUAGUGCAUUACCCUCCGUCCUCACUGAAAAACAGUGAAAAUCUGAUAGGAACCAGAGUCACGUAUGGACUUAAAGUAAAUCAAUUAAGUAUUUGAUACCUAUGGUCUGUGUAUUGAUAAUGCUUCAAACUUUUUCAUUCGUCAAAGAUUUAGUUUUGUGAUUUUGUUAAGACGAAAAAAAAAAAAAAAAAAAAAGCCUUCAAUUUUGAUUCUGACCGUGAAAAUUCACAUGAACAAGAACAUGUACGUGGAAAUCAUCAUACAUUGGUUUCAAUAAGUGUGAGGGGAAAAGUGAAAACAAUUGAAAAAAGUUAACAAAUAGUAAAACAAAAACAAAAACAUUGAUUUAAUUGAGAGUUUUCAUGGAUCAAAAUUAAUAAUGGCCACUAAAAAAUGUCAUGUUUUACAAACUACUGUCACCAAAAAGAAUUAGUAGCUUUUUGCUCGGUUAUUUCUCUAUUUGUUAAUCACAUUGCGUCCAUCCAAACUUUCUUCCCACCUUAAAGAUCAUCACCUCAUACAUCAUUAGAAAACCGACUAAAUCUCGAUUGUUAUGCAUUUAAAUCUUUAUAGACUUUGGUGUAAGCGGAGAUGGUCAACUUAGCAGGGCAGAAAGUAUUUAAAUGUG
rnacentral:lncRNA from 1 species